CGCAGAGUGACGGCCGGGUAAACCCGGCCGGUAAUGCGGAGCCGCCGGUCACAAGUCCGG
rnacentral:ribozyme from 1 species